rnacentral:rRNA from 1 species
UACGUAGGGUGCGAGCGUUGCCCGGAUUCAUUGGGCGUAAAGGGCGCGUAGGCGGCCCGGCGCGUCAUGCGUGAAAUCUCCCGGCUCAACUGGGAGGGGUCGUGUGAUACGGUCGGGCUGGAGCGAGGCAGGGGGCAGCGGAAUUCCCGGUGUAGUGGUGGAAUGCGUAGAUAUCGGGAGGAACACCAGUGGCGAAGGCGGCUGCCUGGGCCUUGAGCUGACGCUGAGGCGCGAAAGCGUGGGGAGCGAUCCGG